GACGAACGCUGGCGGCGUGCUUAACACAUGCAAGUCGAGCGGUAAGGCCCUUUCGGGGGUACACGAGCGGCGAACGGGUGAGUAACACGUGGGUGACCUGCCCUCAGCUCUGGGAUAAGCCUGGGAAACCGGGUCUAAUACCGGAUAUGACUCCAUGACGCAUGUUGUGGGGUGGAAAGCCUUGUGCGGCUGAGGAUGGGCCCGCGGCCUAUCAGCUUGUUGGUGGGGUGAUGGCCUACCAAGGCGACGACGGGUAGCCGGCCUGAGAGGGCGACCGGCCACACUGGGACUGAGACACGGCCCAGACUCCUACGGGAGGGCAGCAGUGGGGAAUCUUGCGCAAUGGGCGAAAGCCUGACGCAGCGACGCCGCGUGAGGGAUGACGGCCCU
rnacentral:rRNA from 1 species